CCGCCUUUAUUCCUUCGUCUCUCUUGAACCCCCUCGACCUCUGAAACCCUAAUGUCCUCUUACCUCCCUCUCCGACCUAAAAUCCACCUGAAUCCAUGGCUAAUCUAGCCAUGGAUGAUCUUUGCUCACCCUCUCCUGCUCCUACACGCUUGCUCUUUGAAGAUUCGAGGCUAGAACUUGAAGGUCUUCAUCCAGACCUUGGCCAAUUCGAGUCUCUUUGGCCAUCUCCGGCUUUUUCCGACUUACCUUAGCCUUUUGAGCCUAGAUUCGACUUUAUCGGCUCAGAUCCGUUCUUGAAGACUUCCAAGACUUCUCGUCCUUUAGGGUUCUCAGAAACCCUAGCCUAUUCGAGGUUCUUUCUUCGUUAUUUUCCUAGAUCUGUGGUAAAUCUGUGCUAUAUUCAACGUUUUAAGUGUUUUCC
rnacentral:lncRNA from 1 species